GAUGAAGAACGCAGCGAAAUGCGAUAAGUAAUGCGAAUUGCAGAAUCCGUGAGUCAUCGAAUCUUUGAACGCACAUUGCGCCCUCUGGUAUUCCGGAGGGCAUGCCUGUUCGAGCGUCAUUAUCACCCCUCAAGCCCGGCUUGUUGUUGGAUGCAGCGCUUAUCCCGCUCCUCCCAAAGAUAAUGAAGGCGUCUGCGACGACUCCUGUACACUGAGCUUUCGGGCACGUACACGGCUAGAAGUCCAGACCCGGUCGCCGUCCCCCCCGCGGGGACACCCAUUACCACAAGGUUGACCUCGGAUCAGGUAGGAAUACCCGCUGAACUUAAGCAUAUCAAUAAGCGGAGGA
rnacentral:misc_RNA from 1 species